AUGCUAUUCACAGUGUCCCAUAUGGAUAUUCACCGAACUAAAACUUUGUAUAUACUCCCUAUGUAUGUGAAGACAUCUUCACAGGAAAACAGUAGUCAGCAGCAUCAAAAUGGAUAUGAAGAGAUAUGUAUACAGGUUGAUCGAUGUCAAUGGUGAAACGCUGCGUGAAGGUCAAACCUUAAGAAGAACACGUAUGGCAGCUUAUCAAGCAGCACAGAGGGUUCUACAACGAUUAAUGGAGCGAGGUGUUAUCACUGCAAACACUGUAUAUCCUGUGGAAGUGCAUGAAAUUUCCACCACAAGACAGUCUCUUGAGCGUGCACGUGACUUGAGACAAAAUCGUCGGAAGUUUGAGACUAUUCUGGAAACUCUCUACCUGAAUGAACUCCAGAGAAGUGUCACAAAACUGUGUCAAGACAAUUGUUAUGGAUGUGAAAUUGAUCAUCCCUCACAAAUUCACCACCAGUGUGUGAUGAUGGAUAGUGCUGAAAAGGUGGACCUCUAUUUUGAGGAUGCUCUGAGUGGAAUACCUCAUCAGAACAUUUUAGAAAGAGCACGACAACAACGUACACAACUCAGACUAGACUUCCAUGACAGACAUACCGUCUGUUAUGAAAACAUUGAUUAUUUGAAUUCUGGUUUGCUUUCCAACAUAGGAAAAGAGAGACUGGAGAUGCUAACCAAACUCAACAUGAGUUUACCAUAAACAAGACAAACUAGUCAUUCAGUAAUCCAUUUUUAUUUCCUUGUACAUAAUAUGUAUAGAAUGAUGGAUGUACAUUAAAAAGGCUCGAUUGCCCUUACUUUUGCUGUACCUGGCACACCGUCAGAUGCUUUGCGUUUUAAAUAUAAAGUAUUUACAGUUUUCUUCUUUUUGUCUUUCUUUUGUCUGCUUUUCAUGAGAUGUUUAGGAACAUGCGAAUGUCUUAAAAGUUUAUAAAAGUCUCUAUAUCCUACUGGACGGCGACUUUUAACACCUGCUUUCAUGAUAACAAAACGGAUCAAGUCUACUAUGUUCGAACCAUGCAACACCUCACCAUUAGGUAACACAAGUUGUAAAUCUUCUGUCAGUCCUAUUUGUCUGUUUAGAAUGUUUUCUUUCACAAAUAUCCACAAAGUCAUUAACUUGCCGAUGGUUUUUGUAGACGAAAUACCUCUAAUGAUCUGUUCAGGUACACGAAGCAUGAUGUCUAUGUUAUCCUUCACAACAGAUGCAUGUGCUUCUUCAUCACCGCUGUUACUAGAUCCAUUAUUAUGAUUCAUAAUCUUCAGAUCUUGUUUCGUUGUCAGAUGAUCCUGAAUCGGUGUCUGAUUCACUGUCUGAGGAGGAAUCUGUUCUUCUUGAUUGUUCAUCAACCUCUGCUCUCAGUGUGAGUCUCUAUUUCAACACAAUCUGGGAACACAUCAUUAAAGGAUCCACACUCAUCCAUGGUUCUGUUCAGUUCAAGUGAUGAAAGUGAAAUGAUGAAAACACUCAUAGAGAGACGGAUAUAUAUCAUCUUGGGCAUAAUUCUAUGACUGCGGUAAGUAGACUGUACAUGCUUCAUCAGGAAAUAUGUUUGUGCGUAAACGUCCAUAGGGUUCAUCAGCAUAGGGUGAAGCAUCCAAAA
rnacentral:lncRNA from 1 species